UUCUAUUGCGUUUGUUGGAUCCCCUGCCUUUAAGGCUUGACAGUUUUCACGAAAGAUGGCGCUCGUCGUCCAUUUAAUGUUUAUUGACAGACGACGCCGGAAUUGGUGCAAUUACACUGGAUAAUUUUAUCAUAUUUUGCGAAAUGGGAAAGUCAUCUCGUCGAGUGUUUGUAAAUGAAGAGCUGGUCCGUCUCGUGGAGUGUUUUAAAUAUAAAGGAUUUAGCAAGUGCUAUUGAAUAAGUCAAUAACUAAAACGGUGUGUGUGUAGGUUUCGGUGCAUUCAUAGACGGUGGGCGUUAAUUACUAUUGGUUUACCACAAUAACUCAUUGCAUCACUUGCACCUCAAAAAAAAUCUAUUCUCGUCGUUCUUCCAUUAUAUUUAUUUAUGUAUAAAUCGUAUCAUUAUAUAUUGUUAAAAUUAAACUCAUUUUAUUGGACAUUUAGUGAAAGAAUUAACAUUAA